UACGAAGGGGGCUAGCGUUGCUCGGAAUCACUGGGCGUAAAGCGCACGUAGGCGGAUUGUUAAGUCAGGGGUGAAAUCCCGGAGCUCAACUCCGGAACUGCCUUUGAUACUGACGGUCUUGAGUCCGGGAGAGGUGAGUGGAACUGCGAGUGUAGAGGUGAAAUUCGUAGAUAUUCGCAAGAACACCAGUGGCGAAGGCGGCUCACUGGCCCGGUACUGACGCUGAGGUGCGAAAGCGUGGGGAGCAAACAGG
rnacentral:rRNA from 1 species